AACCACGGACAGCUCCCGCCCUGUGGCCCUUGUGUCCUCCCAGCGCUGUGCCGUCUGCAGUUUCACCCGGAGGACAAGGAGUGUGGCUGCAGAUCGGGUCGGCCUGCCCUUGCUCUGCUUCUUCCCCACCCACACUUGGUGGGUGUCUUCUAGGCUGUCCAGCCUUGAACUAAGCACCCCAAGAGGAGUCAGAGCCCGAGAGAUGAGAAACAGGAGCCCGAUGAAGAUCUAGGUCCGUCCCUCUCUGGGAGCUCAGCUACUGCGCCCGAGAGGCAGCGCUCAGACAGCGGGGAGGAGGCGGCCGCGGAGCCCCCGGAGACAGAGGGUGAAGGCCUGCUUUCAAAGUACCCCACGUCGUUCAGCAAAGAUUCAUCAUUUAGAAUUCAGACCUGCCAAGACCAAGGAUGCUUUGUCUCAGGUGAAAAUUUACAUGAAAUGUAACAUUUCUAAGUCCAUCAUCACCAUGUUUAUUGAUGCCUUAAAACAAGAGCUCAGAUGUGGGCAUGCUCACCCAAAAGAAAGAGAUAUCUUCAUUUCUCCUUCUUACAGUUUCCUUGUUUCCAAGGAAAAAUACAAGAUCUUGACAACUGCAAUCACCUGGUAACCAAUCAUGAAUCUGGUAUGGACCACUUUCACCCUGCUAAGAAUAUUUCCAGGAACCAAACUGCUUUGGAAGGGGAAGUGGGGCUUCUUGGAUAAAGUUUCCUGGAGAGAAAAGGAGUUCUAAUUAGUAUGGGCACUGAGGUGAGGGUAGAUAGAAACAGACAUGGGGGCAGCAUGCUUCUGUCCGGCCACCCUUAGUGGGUUGAUAUCUUGAUCGGUUGGUUGGUCAGUUCCUGGGAUAGAAUAAGGAUCCACAGCAUGUAGACCAUAUCACUGCCUAGGAAACACACAGUGGUGCUUGCCCUAGGAAUUUCUGCCCCUUCUUUCCAAGACCCCACAUUGGAGGCUCUAUCCAGAGUGAACUACUGAAAUUCUUUUAGAACUUUUAACCCAAAUAAAGCUGGGCUACCUUAUGUCCUAUUUUAGAAACAGUACUUCUUUCUAAAGAAAUGUCAUCAUGGCAAAAAAAAAAAAAAAUCCUUGUCAAGCAAUAUAAUUCUUUAGUGGAAUCUUUGGAAAGGGCAACUUAUGGGAAAUUCUAUUUCUUGACAUACAGUAAAAUGCCCUGAUGCACCACAAAUUGCUCUUCUCUCUUUUGCCUGUAGGUUUUAUCAGUCUCAAACCUCCAGCUCUUCUUUCUUUCUCAUAUGUAUCUUCCUAUCUCCUGACUUUCUGGCUCUAAAGAUAACAGUGUUACAGUACACAUCAUAAUCUCUGAAACCAAAUUGGCUAAUUAGCUUUGAACCCCGGCACUAUCAUGGUUUGUUUGUGGCCUUGGAAAAGUUGCCCAACAGUGGUUGACAUAUAUUAUAUUAACUUUUACCUUGUGCCAGGCAGGUAUUAAGCAACUAGCCCAAAGUUACUUAGCUAGUUAGUGAUAGAGCCAGGACCUGGCUCAAGCAGCUUGACUCCAAAGCCUACAUUCUUUUUUUUUUUUUCCCAGAGGAGUCUUUCUCUGUCACACAGGCUGGCACAGUGCAAUGGCGCGAUCUCAGCUCACUGCAACCUCCUCCUCCUGGGUUCAAGUAAUACUCCUGCCUCAGCCUCCUGAGUGGCUGAGAUUACAGAUGCAUGCCACCACACCCAGCUAAUUUUUUUUUGUAUUUUUAGUAAAGACAUGGUUUCACUAUGUUGGCCAGGCUGGUCUUGAACUCCUGACCUCAAGCAAUCCUCCUACCUUGGCUUCCCAAAGUGCUGAGAUUACAGGCAUGAGUCACCACGCUUGGCCCAAAGCCCAGACUCUUGAGGAUUAUGCUGUUCUGCUAUGUUAUGCCUCAGUUUUCUCAUCUUAAGAUGGGGAUAAUAAUAAUACUGCUUCAUGGCAGGAAAAAUAAUGUACUGGGGAGUGUUAAGGCUAUAAAUAUAAUAAUUUCCUUCUGACAUUAAAUGGUUUUAAUGGUUGCAUUUUACUGAGUCAACUAAAAUUCAGAGACAUUAAGUUACUUUUUUUGUAGUCUCCCUGGUAAGUUACUGAACAAAGCUGGGCUUAAAUUUAAAUCUAUACUAUUUCUAGUUGAGGCAUUCAAACUCAUACUCAGCCAUCUGAGGAUGAUGUAAUAUUGGGCGUGUGAUUUUUACCUUCCUAGGCCUCAGUUUUCUCACCUUUAAAUUUAGGGUGUUCACCUCACAAAUCCAUGAUAAUUAUAAAAAUUAGAUAUAAAAAUGUAAUUUGUAGACCUUCCAAUGGCAUGGAAAUGUUAAGUAUGGUAUUGUUAAGUAUUAUUGGGUCUUUCUAGAAGCGUCUGCCUAAGUUGCACAGAGCUGGGGAAUAAACAAAGUUUCAUGGAAACACCAGACACAUCAAAAUCACCCAAGGACACCACAGAUGGCCAUUCAGCCUACUGGGGGAUCUAGUAAGAGAACCUACUGAGGAGAGGAUAGAGGGGAGGCUGCUAAGGUACCUGAGGCCAGAGAUACAGGAAAAUUAGCUGCCCUUACUGCACAUGUGGGGAUGGGGGGAGAAUCCCUGUUCUGCUGGAACAACAACGCUUCAGAGAGGCUACUACUCAUGGUGAAGAAGGAAGCUUUAACAGUGGAGAACAUGAAGACUACAAUCACCUACACAUCCAAUCUUCCCUUAUCCCCUGUCCUAACAGAAUCACUGUACUUGCCUUUCCUUUGAAUGUGGGUUGCCUCAGGCAUUUGUUCAACAAAUAGUUGUUAAGCACCUAUGAUGUGACGGACACUAUUCCAAAGCAUACAGACAAGAUUUCCGCUUUUAUAAUAUCUGUAUCCUGAUAGAGGGAGGAGGGAGGGGAGACUAAAAGAAACAAAUGAAGGAUAUGAUUAUUUUGUCUGAUAAAGACUGUGAAGAAAAUAAACAUCUGAUUGCUCAUCAAAAUCAUCUUUGGUAAUAGAUCAUGAUAUACUUUUGCCAAAUAACCUGAAGGUGCUCAAAGAAUUGAGUGGCGUUACUAUGUAGUUUCUCAGCACCUACAACUAUAAAAAAUGGGGAAAAACCCAAACAAAUAUAAUCAAUACUGGUUCCUGUUUCAUUUUAGUAAUAAACAAAUUUUGUAUAAACUAAAAGGGUUAAAAAAUUUUCCAUCUUUUUAAUUAACAAAUGCAUUCCCAAUUAUAGUGCACUUUUGUGGUUAGCAAUUAUUUAUACAUUGUGUAUUAAUAAUAUUUGCAAAUAUCACUCAAUCCAAAACAUAUUUUAAUCCUCAGGAUCUUAGAGUCAUGGAAAAAAAGUUUUAAAGAGGCUUAGUUUAUACUCUUUUUUUUGUGAAGAUCAAUAAAAUGCUUUUAGGAAUAAAAUAUAUUGCAUUGCAACAAAAUUUUGUGAGCAAUAGGAAAUGAAAAUAUGGUUUCAAGAAAAGAGGACAGACAGAAAAUUUCUAACUAUUAGCAAAGUGCAUACCACAGCUUUUGGCUGGAUUAUUGUGAGUAUCAAGCUGCAAUGGAAUCAGAUUUCAAUGGAUACCAAUAGAAGAAUUAGCUAACCGUUUUAUUUUAAAUGUGAAUAUUUUAAUAUGCCAGCAAUUACAUAUUUAUGACAUAGGAUAAAUUUUUAGGCGAUAACUUAAAAAUAUCUGAGGGGUAUACAUAUUUGCAAAAUUCUUUUAGAGAGUGCAUAAGAUUUGAAUAUCACGUGCAUAAUCUUUAGACUGCACUAUACUUAGUGGCCCCUAGAGGGAGUCUCUCCUCACAUGUUGCCCCAGUUCCACAAGGACAACUUGGAAGGGUGGAGAGCUCUCAUUUGCAUUAACUGCUCCACAAAUUAUUAAAAAGGCCUUGAUAGGAAGCUCACUGGAAGGAAAAUGUGGCAUAGUGGAAAUAGCAGUAGAUUUUGCUCAAGAUUAGUUUUCCUGAUUCUUCUCCUAACUAGUUCAUUGGUUCUCUGAGCCCAGUUUCCUCAUUUGAAAUAUGAGUGGUAGGAUACAUUCAUAUAAAGAAUACAGACUCUGGGAUUGGACUGCCUGAGCUCAAAUUUCAGCUUUGCUACUUACCAGCUGGGUGACCUGAUAUAUGUUUUUGAUAUUUUAGUGCUUUCUGUCUGUCAUCUAAUAACCAUAAUAGGAAUGAUAGUAGUACCUAUUGAAUAGAGUUAUUGUGAUGAUUAACCAAAUUAACAUUUAUAAAGUGCUUUGAAUAGUGCCUAGCACAUAGAUAUAAUUAUUACUUAUUACCUUAACUAUUAAUAUUAUUAUAAUCAUUAACAUGGCUUUUGAAAAAAUGAAAAUGAACAAUGCAUGGGAAAUGCUUUAAACCCCACGGCUGCUACACAACUAAAAGAAAUGCUAAUAAAUCACAUUAGCUAUGGUGCUUUCAGCAGCAAAUUACAAAAACAAAAACAAAACUAAAAUGGGUUUAACCUAUGAGGAGAUUUAUUAUUUCCUAUAACAAUUAGCUCAUAUAUGUGACAGUCAGGGCUCCAGAGCUAUAAUUCCAGGCUCUGCUCCGUGAGGUGUUGUCUUUGUGCUUGCAGUGUCUUCCCUCUCACUCACAAGACAGCUACUACUGGAAGCUGAAGCCAGAUACUUCCUUCUUCCCUUCCAUCUAAUUGGCCAACGUAAGUCAGGUGCUCACCUCCGCAUCACUACUAUUUCUUAAGGAAGUUCCACGCACCGAUUGCCUUAACCCCAUGUCUGAACUGAUCCCUGGUACAUGGGAUAGUGUGACUAGGUUAGGACAAUCAAGAUUCAGACCCUGGAACUGGAGAUAUGAGUCACACAUCUUAGUCAGUGUCCCAGCAGGGAGCAGAUGGCACAUUGAAACUAGUUUAAUGAGAAUUUAAUAAAGUGACUAUAAAGCUGUGGGCAAAGUUUAGGGAACUCAGCAAAGGAUGGUGCAGUGUCCAGGGUUGGCAACAACAGGAACCAAUACUGCCCUCAGCCUGAGGAUUAGGGGGCUAUUAUUAGAACACAAGUGCCAAGAAUCAGACAGGGAGGGUUGCCCAAGAGGUUCUUUGUCCAUUCAUAGAGGGAUGCUGUCAACUUGCAACUACCUAGCAAAGAAGGAAGCCAGAAGAAAAAAUACCCACCCUCCUUCUGAAAGCCACAGUGCAAGGAAGCCAUUAAUGCCAUCAAUGCACACUCAUCACCAGAUCAGGCACUCAGACUCUAGGUCACAGUGGAGAAGGAUAAGCAUAUGGAAUUAUGAGCAUACAUGGACAUUGAAUACACAUGAGCUGUACAAAGGAGGGGACAGACACCUAAACAAAAUCAUAUCCUGUUAGGAAAGAGGAAGAGGAAGCUGGUUAGACAUCUAACACAAUUCACUGUAAGUAUUCUUUUUCAAAAUAAGAUUGUUCUGUUUUGUUUUCGAAUAUAAAUUAUCUACAAUUGAAGGCAUCUUUUUUUUAAGUAAAAUUCCUCCUCAAAGGAGAGGCACAACAAGAUAACAAAAAAGGCUGAACUGUCACUACUUGAUGAGAGAUUCAGGGAAAGAUGGAUGUCUUGACCUUUCAGGGGAAAGUGAAGAAAUCCAUUCCCAGAAGGGAUUGCAAAGGGAAGUGGCUGUUCCCUUGAUAAGGCCAAAGAGGGCAAGCCUAAUGAGGCCUAAGCCAGUUACAUGGUGUAAUUUACUGAAUGGUGUUGGCUGCCUUGCAAUGUUUCAAGGCAAUCUUUUUGCAAUACAUGAUUAGUAGGAAAAAGAGAUUUGGAUUUUGCCAUUUUCCAAAGGAAACUUGACUACAUUUAGUAAUACAGAAAAAUGUUCUCUUUGGAAAGUCUCAUAUUUCUAUGCAAAGUGGCGUCCCAAGUCAGAAUUUACACAAUGUAUUAUUGCCUAGUGUAUGAGGAUCAGCUAAUUAGUUCUGAACUAAAUGUCAAGAUAAAUAAACCCAACCUCUAAAGAACUCCAAGAAGCUCUGUGACUAAGUGUCGCCAUCAAGGACGAGAAGAGUCUACACCAGUGAUUCUCAACACUGGCUAUGUAUUAGAACUUUUUGGGAGAUUUGAAAAUUUUCUGGGCCCAGAUUCCACCCCAGAGCAAUUAAAUGAGAAUAUCUUUCAGUAAGGUACAGGCAUUGGUACUUUUUGAAAAGCUCCCCAAGUGAUCCUCAUAUGCUUCCAGAGUUGAGAAGCUCUGGUAUAUAAGACACCUGUAUUUCCAAUAGAUGCAGCAUGCUCAAAUCAAUCAGAUCAGUUGCUGUGCUGAUGAGUCAAUUCAGUCCAAGUAGCCAUGUUAGCAUGUAGAGCUUAUGACUUUUUUGCUGUGUCUUUUAGCCAGAUAUUGAGCCAACACAAUAGAGCAGUUAAAAAGGAGGACUGCCUGGGGUCAUAUUCUGUGUCCACUCAUGAGCUAUGUGACUUUGGAAAAGUCACUUAACUGUUUUGAGGCUUAGUUUCAUCAUCUGUAAAAUGGGGGCAAUGGUAGGAAUUACAACACAGAUUGUGUUGAGUAUUAACUCAGAAAAUAUUUAUGGAAGUCUUAGAGCAGUGCCCAUCACAGAGUGAGCCCUCACUAACUGCACGCUGUAGUUAUGUGUCUAGAUUUAAGCCAACUGGAAGUCCCAGGAGGAUCCCUACACCUUUCCCACUGGCUUUGUAGAAUUCUGUCUGGCAGGGGGUUGGGGAGGAGAGGUUGUUGAAGUAACUAGAUAUUUUGGCCCCUCCCAAUCCAGAAUAUAUGAGUCUAUGAAAUGCUUUGGAGUAUUUCUGCAUGACAGGUAAGGACUUUAAGAAUGAAAACGACUACUAUUUCUGCCAAUAAUUGCCACCGUUUAUUGAUUGUGUCAGGUACCCUGUCAGGCAGUUUCCAUCUUCUCACAAUCUUCACAAGAAUCCUACAGAAACAAGAUGUAUCCCCUGAUUUACUGAUGAUGAUCCUUCAGCCCAGAGAUGGGUACCACAGGUCCAGAGAACAGAAGUUAAGGGCAGACAUUGUGGAACUGGCUUUGGGCUGUGAAGAACAGCGUCUCGCUGUAUUGCCAGACUGGAGUGCAGUGGCGCGAUCUCGGCUCACUGCAACCUCCACCUCCCAGGUUCAACUGAUUCUCCUGCCUCAGCCUCCUGAGUAGCUGGGACUACAGGCGCCCACCACCAUGCCCAGCUAAUUUUUUUUAUUUUUAGUAGAGAUGGGGUUUCACCAUGCUGGCCAAGCUGGUCUCGAAUUCCUGACCUCAGGUGAUCCACCCCCAUUAACCUCCCAAAGUGCUGACAUUACAGGUGUGAGCCACUGCACCCUGCCUAAUAUACUUUUGUUGUACAAAACACGAUGGAAUACUUGCUCUGUGACUGGCUCUGUGCAAAGUACAUUACCCACAGUGGCCUAUUUAAACUUGGCAAUAGCCCUAUGAGAUAGGCACUAAUUGUGUUCCCCAUUUUACAAACGAGGAAACAGAGGCACAGAGCUUAUAACUGGUGGCUGAGCUUCCGGUUGGGGCCAUCUAGUUACAGAACUUGCAUGUUUAAUCAUGACACCAUAAUGCUUUGCAAUGGGAGAUUCCAAGAGGGGGAAUUUGACAUUCAGUGUUUCCCAAAUUUAUUUGGCUUUGGAACCCUUUUAUUCCUUCUAAUCGACAUAGAGGACAAGUAUGUAAUGGGAUACUCUGAUAAAUGCUUCAAUAAAGCAACGGAUUUAUGCCGCCCCUCUUUAAAAUAUAACUAAAAAUAUAAGUCCACAGGCCCAUCAUAUAAUUGAACAGGUAACGAUUGAAUUUUGAUUUGAUGGAAAGACUCUAAUCAUGUUAAUCUAAGUUCUCAAAGUGAAUGCCACUAAACCAAGACUAUUCAGUGUAUUUGAAGUAUGUACAAUACCAGUCAGAAUUGGGACUUCUCAGGAAGAAAAAAGGGUAUAUGGCAGAUAGGUAAGAAUAGAAAGCCACAGGUCUAGCAGGGAAGCUAAAUAUGGUGUGGAAUGUGUUGGGGAGAUGGGAGAAAUGCUCACCUCUUCAUGGAAGUUCGAAAAGAAGACUGAGAUUCUAAAUAACGCUGGAGUAUUGCAGCUGGAACAAGCAUGAUACCAAUGGCCAACACAAGGCCUUUUUAGAAUAAAUCUAAAACAAUUAAGAGAUAAUAUGCCAGCGGGUUGAUGCCAGGUAAUACUGAUGGUUACCUUAAACAAUGUUUUCUAAACUUCAGUUUUUUACACACCAACUUCAUGAUUUUUUUCUAUCAAGAUACCACUACUAUUAUUUAUCUAGCAUUUUUUAAAUUGUCUUAUUUCUUUGCUUAAAUAUUUUUUAAACCUUAAUAUCUGAGAAUUCAUCGUUUUGAAGGAAUAAUUAUAUUGUUUUAAUAUAUAAAUUUUAAAGUUAAUAUCUUUAUUCCAUCUAAAGUGGUAUGUGUACUAUUCUUUGGAAAUGAUUUGAUUUUCUAAAGGAUUAAAAACUUGCCAGUGUUGGAAAAAAAAGGAAACAAGAAAAUUAAGACUGAGUUAAAUAAGGUGAAAACAAAAUUGAAGACUAAAGGUUAGACAUGAAAUAUAUCUGUCUCUAAUUUGAGGUACAAUGUCAAAUUUUUUUUGUAAAUUGUUCUAAAAAUAUCAGUUGUUCUUUUGCUUGUAUUUUAAUUCAAUGAUUAAAUAAACAGAUGACCUAGUUUCAUUAACAGAUUAUCUUUUUCUUAGUUCUGUCUGAUAACUGCAACAAAAAUAUCAAAUACCCCUCAUAUAAAUUAUCAAAUCAAAAGGUUAUUCAUUAUAUGGAAUGUUUUAUUUAUGACCAUCUGUAUUGCAGCUUUGAGUUAACAUUAGCUUGGAUGGCUUUUUUUUUUAUCUUUUUGAGACAGUCUCACUCUGUCACCCAGGCUGGAGUGUGAGGGCACAAUCACAGCUCACUGCAACCUCAACUUCCUAGAUUCAGCCUCUCAAGUUUCUGGGACCACAGGUGCCUGCCACCAUGCCUGGCUAAUUUUUUGUUAUUAUUUGUAGAGAUGAGGGUCUCCCUGUGUUGCCCAGGCUGAUCUCAAACUCCUGGGCUGAAGUGAUCCUCCCACCUUGGCCUCCCAUAGUGCUGGGAUUACAGGUGUGAGCUUCUGCACCUGGCCUUGGGUGACAUUUUAGAAAUCAAUUUUGAAUUUUUAAAAACUCAUCUUGUGCUUCCAAAAAAAAAAAAAGACAUAUUAAUGUGCUACAAAGUCCACUUUAUUACAGACCAUUUCAUCAUUCCAUUGAUUACCCAUGGCAUGAAACAUUCUUCCAUAUUGACAUUAGACAUAGAAAUUGAAACACAGAUGACUAAACUUACUGUUUCAACAAAAUGUGAAUCAAUAGAUUAUUUGAUAAGAGCAAGAGACAUCCCCUACAGCAGUACUAUUCACAGAACUUUCUGUGAUGAUGGGAAUAUUCCACACCUGCCCUGUCUGAUUCAAUAGCUUCUAGUUACAUGUGCUCACUGAGCACUUGAAAUGUCAAUAGUAUGCCUAAAUAACUGAGUUUUUAUUUUAUUUUAAUUCAUCUAAAUUUAAGUGUAAAUGACCACAGGUGGCCAGCAGUCUACACAAUGGAAUGUGGAGCCCUGUAGGGUAGCAAACCUUCUGCUCAGGAUUCUGUCUUUUAAAGAGGGUUUGGAGAAAAUUCAUUCAUAUUUGACUCUUUUUCUUUAUAGAGGAAGUCUCCAUUUAUGCCUAUAUUUUAAUAAAAUGGCUUCAACAUUCUG